rnacentral:rRNA from 1 species
UAGAGUUUGAUCCCUGGCUCAGGACGAACGCUGGCGGCGUGCCUAAUACAUGCAAGUCGAGCGAACAGAAGGGAGCUUGCUCCCGGAUGUUAGCGGCGGACGGGUGAGUAACACGUGGGUAACCUGCCUGUAAGACUGGGAUAACUCCGGGAAACCGGAGCUAAUACCGGAUAGUUCCUUGAACCGCAUGGUUCAAGGAUGAAAGACGGUUUCGGCUGUCACUUACAGAUGGACCCGCGGCGCAUUAGCUAGUUGGUGGGGUAAUGGCUCACCAAGGCGACGAUGCGUAGCCGACCUGAGAGGGUGAUCGGCCACACUGGGACUGAGACACGGCCCAGACUCCUACGGGAGGCAGCAGUAGGGAAUCUUCCGCAAUGGACGAAAGUCUGACGGAGCAACGCCGCGUGAGUGAUGAAGGUUUUCGGAUCGUAAAGCUCUGUUGUUAGGGAAGAACAAGUGCGAGAGUAACUGCUCGCACCUAGACGGUACCUAACCAG